ACGUUCAUGUUUGAAGGGAAACAGCCAACAACUAUGAACAUUUGCUGUUGCCUUCGUUUCUUCAUACCUUCAGACAUGUAAUAAUUUCCCAUUCAAUUCCAUUUGAAUUGUUUAGUUUAGGCUGGUUGAGUGUGUGUGCGUGCAUGUGUGGUGUGCGCCUGUUUCAGUAUGAAGAACUUUUGCGCUGACUUCGCUGCUACAACAACCUCAUCAUGUUGAAAAUGUUUACAUUCAAUAUUUUUACUUCAUUCAAUAUUUUUCGUGUGUGAAAUUUUUAGUAUGAAUUUCGCUUUCUGCUGAACAAGUUGUGUUGAAUGUGAGAGUUCGGAACACGUUACAAAAAAGAAGAAAAAAAAAAUAAAGAAACAAAAAAGUGUAUUUUUUUUUGUUCUACAACACUACUACUCCUCUUGAAGUGAAGUGCAAAAAAAUACAUAAUAAGAAAAUAAUAAUAAAGAACAAGAAUUUCCGACUAGAAAAAUAAAGAAAUUUUUAUAGUAAAGAAAACAACAACUACAAAAAUAAUCAACAAUUUCUGGUUUUUUUAUACAGUUUUCUAAAAUAAAAGUUCUUAACGCAAAAAAAAUCAAAGUGUUUUUACAACAACAAAAUUUCUUUUCAUUUAAAAAAAAAUUACAAACAAUUUUACUUUUUUUUAUAAUACAAUCAAACUUUUAUAAAUUAAUAAAUAAAUCAUAAUAUAACAACAACAAAUUGUGCAAAAAUUUUAGCCAAAAUCUUAAAAAGAAGAAGAAAAAAUAAAUUCAAAAAUAAACAAAAUAAUUGAACAAGUUUGAUAUUGUCUUCUGUACAAAAAAAGAAGCAGAAUUUUUAAUAACAAAACAACAACAACAACAAAAACGUCUACAAAAACAAUUAUACAAACAACAGAAUAGUAUACAAUAAAUAGCAAACACAAACACACUUAAAAUAACUGUAAAUUUAUGACAGAGACUGAGCAAAAGCAAUAAUAAUCAUACCAACAACAACAACAACAAACACAUUAAAUAACAGCAAACAAAUAUCAAGACUAUUUUUACAAUCUGGAAACCAAAUUUUUUACAUAAAACGAAAAAUAAACUUUUGAAAUAAAACCAAAAUUUUUUUUUUGAAAAAUUAACAGAUUAAAUAAAAAAUUAAU